rnacentral:rRNA from 1 species
AGAGUUUGAUCAUGGCUCAGAUUGAACGCUGGCGGCAGGCCUAACACAUGCAAGUCGAGCGGCAGCACAGAGGAACUUGUUCCUUGGGUGGCGAGCGGCGGACGGGUGAGUAAUGCCUGGGAAAUUGCCCGGUAGAGGGGGAUAACCAUUGGAAACGAUGGCUAAUACCGCAUAACCUCGCAAGAGCAAAGCAGGGGACCUUCGGGCCUUGCGCUACCGGAUAUGCCCAGGUGGGAUUAGCUAGUUGGUGAGGUAAGGGCUCACCAAGGCGACGAUCCCUAGCUGGUCUGAGAGGAUGAUCAGCCACACUGGAACUGAGACACGGUCCAGACUCCUACGGGAGGCAGCAGUGGGGAAUAUUGCACAAUGGGCGCAAGCCUGAUGCAGCCAUGCCGCGUGUAUGAAGAAGGCCUUCGGGUUGUAAAGUACUUUCAGUAGGGAGGAAGAUGGUUAAGUUAAUAC